rnacentral:ncRNA from 1 species
UAUUGUUUUCUGACGGGUUAAUAGGGAAGCCGGUGCAAGUCCGGCACGGUCCCGCCACUGUGAAGCAGGGACUUUUCCAUAUGCCACUGAGCCUUUAGCGCUUGGGAAGGCGGAGAAGUCGUUACAACCUGCAAGUCAGGAGACCUGCCCUCAGCGAA